UUGCUCACUUCUGCAGCAUACAUAAUAAAACUGGAACUAUACAGAGAAGAUUAGUAUGGCCUCCAUGGAAGGCUGACACACAAAUUUGUAAAGCAUUCCAUAUUUUU
ensembl:snRNA U6 U6 spliceosomal RNA